UUGGUUUCAGGUACAAUCUCA
rnacentral:siRNA from 1 species